AAGAGAGAGUCAAAAGACCGUGAAACCGCUCAGAGUAUAAGCCAAUGGAGCUUGGAAGGCUUCCGCAGUCCCGGGCAUCACACGUGGUGUCCGUAAGACCUGAAGCACGGUUCGUGAGGCGGAGCAUUGAGUUUGCCGCUUAGCUGUCGUGCGGGGGUCCGGUUCGGGUGCACUAGGCUUCGGCCGAAAUGCGCCCGGCCGUUCCCUUUUGAAUGGACGUUCAGAGCUUCUGUGUCUAAUGCGGUUACGCCCACCACGGCACGUUGUGAGGUCACCCACAGGCUCAAACUGCCGAUCGCGAAUCCAGGACGAUGGCAACGAUGCGUAGCUCUUGUACGGCGCAAGCCAUGUGCAAUCACGCGUGUCUAGUCCUGGGUCGGGCGGCGACCGAGAUAAACCUGGUACGAUCCUCUUGCGACGAGCUGCUUUCUGGCCAGACCGACGCCCAGGCACUCUUCCACUGUGCCGGAAGGUGUCCAUCCCAGGCGGUAUGAACCCAGCUGCAUUACGCAAGGUCUCUCAGCCGGGCGUUGGUCUGAGUGGUGUCAAGUCCAGCACCGUCGGUCACGUCUCGAAACACGGGCCAAGGAGUAUAGCAUGUGUGCAAGUCUAAGGGUCUCACAAAACCCGAAGGCGAAGUGAAAGCAAGACUGUGGCGGGGGAGCCACGGCGAACCCGCCGGCCUGGUGCGCGGCGCUUCACGGCGUCGCGCCCGGCUUUUGGCAGAGCUGAUCCUGUUUUCACGGUUGAUUCUUGGUGCAGGCGCAAGCUCCGGGCUCACGUACAACACCGGUCACGCGCACCUCGCGUGUGCGUGGCUGUGUUGUGAGCACCGUGGAGCAUGC
rnacentral:rRNA from 1 species